GAAACCGUUCAGGGGUAAACCUGAGAAACCCAAAAGAUCGAAUGGGGAGAUUCAUCGUCGACGGCCCGUCCGGCCACCGUUGACGCGCGAUGCGCCGACGGGGACGCGCGUUUACGCGCGCGUUCCUCGUAGCGAGCGCACGCCGCCUUCGGUGUUCCGGCGUCGUAGUCGUGCACUUCUCCCCUAGUAGAACGUCGCGACCCGUUGCGUGUCGGUCUACGGCCCGAGCGGUAGCCUGUCCCGUCUCGCCUCGCGCGUACGGCGACAGACCCUCGGUCGCCCGGCCGGCUGCGCGACGGUACUCACACGGUAUCGGGCCGCAGCAGUUUCGAGAUUCGUUUCGAACGUGUGCGUCAGGCCCGUCGCAAGCUAGGUCAGUUCUUACCCGGAGGUCACGGACCCAGUGCCGUCCCCGGGCCUAGCCAGCUGUUGGCCGACGGUGUCCUCUGACUGUGUCCGCAACGCGGCGUGCGCGCAAGCGCGCGUCGCGUGAUACCGGUCUGCGACGCUAUUGCUUUGGGUACUCUCAGGACCCGUCUUGAAACACGGACCAAGGAGUCUAACAUGUGCGCGAGUCAUUGGGAUCGAUUGUGAAACCUAAAGGCGGAAUGAAAGUGAAGGUCGUACCUUCGCGUCGACCGAGGGAGGAUGGGCCGCGUGCCGUUUCGCGCGUUGUGCGGCCCCGCACUCCCGGGGCGUCUCGUUCUCACAGCGAGAAGAGGCGCACCCAGAGCGUACACGUUGGGACCCGAAAGAUGGUGAACUAUGCCUGGUCAGGACGAAGUCAGGGGAAACCCUGAUGGAGGUCCGUAGCGAUUCUGACGUGCAAAUCGAUCGUCGGAACUGGGUAUAGGGGCGAAAGACUAAUCGAACCAUCUAGUAGCUGGUUCCCUCCGAAGUUUCCCUCAGGAUAGCUGGCACUCGCUCGUUCCAUGUUUGAACGCGUGCGAGUCUCAUCUGGUAAAGCGAAUGAUUAGAGGCCUUGGGGCCGAAACGACCUCAACCUAUUCUCAAACUUUAAAUGGGUGAGAUCUCUGGCUUGCUUGAACUAUGAAGCCACGAGAUAUAUUUGGAUCAGAGUGCCAAGUGGGCCAUUUUUGGUAAGCAGAACUGGCGCUGUGGGAUGAACCAAACGUGGAGUUAAGGCGCCCAAGUCGACGCUUAUGGGAUACCAUGAAAGGCGUUGGUUGCUUAAGACAGCAGACCGGUGG
rnacentral:rRNA from 1 species